AGCGACAAGGAGCAAUCUGAGGUGGCGACCGGCGGCACGGGUGAGUAACACGUAUGCAACCUGCCUGUAAGCGGGGAAUAACCCGUUGAAAGACGGACUAAUACCGCAUAAUACUAAAUUACUGCAUGGUAAUUAUUUAAACAUUUAUGGCUUACAGAUGGGCAUGCGCAUGAUUAGCUAGUUGGAGAGGUAACGGCUCCCCAAGGCAACGAUCAUUAGGGGUUCUGAGAGGAAGGUCCCCCACACUGGUACUGAGACACGGACCAGACUCCUACGGGAGGCAGCAGUGAGGAAUAUUGGUCAAUGGACGAGAGUCUGAACCAGCCAAGUCGCGUGCAGGAAGAAUGUCCCUAUGGAUUGUAAACUGCUUUUGCAGGGGAAUAAAGUGCAUCACGUGUGAUGUUUUGUAUGUACUCUGCGAAUAAGGAUCGGCUAACUCCGUGCCAGCCGCCGC
rnacentral:rRNA from 1 species